rnacentral:lncRNA from 1 species
AUGGGUGAUUGAACAGUAAGACUCAUGUGCUUUCUACUUCACCAGAAGUCUUCGACAGAAUGCCCAUAAUUUCCGCAAAGCUGAGUGUGCGUGUGACAGGUGCUGCCAAGGCUGGAAAAGUAGGUGCCUCUUCGAUUUCUGAGAUCGGCCCUCGUGGUCUCUGAGCAGCCCAACUUUUGAGAAAGCAAGCGGCUCUUCGAUUUCUGAGAUCGGCCUUCGUGGUCUUUGAGCAGCCCAACUUUUGAGAAAGCAGACGCCU